rnacentral:pre_miRNA from 1 species
CAUACCAGCAGUGCAUUGUACAUAGGAAAGGCUGCAAAGUUGUAAAUGCAUUAUCUGGUAUGUG